ACAGGGCUGGAAAGCAGUGAGAGGAACAGAAUGCAGACAGGAUGGCUGGCACUGCAGCUGCUUUCAUGCAACCGCAGGGGAAAGCAAGAGAACCUACACUCUGACGUGCUUGUGGUGCCAAGUCAAUGCCAGACACUGUCUGCACCUGGGUUGACCAUGUGAGAAAAAUCACCGCAAGGAGCAAGUGGGAAAGUUACAUAGGCAAAUGGAUGGGUAAGUCUGUUGCUC
rnacentral:lncRNA from 1 species